rnacentral:RNase_P_RNA from 1 species
CGCCACAGAAAAGAUACCGCCCCGGCAGCGCAAGCCGUCGGGGGUAAGGGUGAAAUGGUGCGGUAAGAGCGCACCGCUGUCCGGGUGACCGGGCAGGCAUGGCAAGCCCCACCGCGUGCAAGGCCAAGCAGCCCCCUGAUCCGUCAUGAAAGUGAUGGGUCACCACUGGUCCGGUGAUGGGCGGGUAGGCUGCUCGAGCCUGAUGGCAACAUCAGGCCCAGAGAAAUGGUCGCCCCCGGAAUGACAUCCCCUUGGGUGUCGCUACGGGAACAAAAUUCGGCUUACGGUUUGCGCCACCCA